rnacentral:rRNA from 1 species
GAUGAACGCUAGCGGCAGGCUUAAUACAUGCAAGUCGAGGGGCAGCAUGGGGUAGCAAUACUCUGAUGGCGACCGGCAAACGGGUGCGGAACACGUACGCAACCUUCCCAAAACUGGUGAAUAGCCCUCCGAAAGGAGGAUUAAUACACCGUAACAUAAUGAAGUGGCAUCAUUUUAUUCUUAUAACUCCGGUGGUUUUGGAUGGGCGUGCGACUGAUUAGAUAGUUGGCAGGGUAACGGCCUACCAAGUCUACGAUCAGUAACUGGUGUGAGAGCACGACCAGUCACACGGGCACUGAGACACGGACCCGACUCCUACGGGAGGCAGCAGUAAGGAAUAUUGGUCAAUGGACGAAAGUCUGAACCAGCCAUGCCGCGUGAAGGAUGAAGGUCCUCUGGAUUGUAAACUUCUUUUAUCUGGGACGAAAAAAGAGUAUUCUUACUCACUUGACGGUACCAGAGGAAUAAGCACCGGCUAACUCCGUGCCAGCCGCCGCGGUAA